AUUGAACGCUGGCGGCAGGCCUAACACAUGCAAGUCGAACGAGUGGCGGACGGGUGAGUAAUGUCUGGGAAACUGCCUGAUGGGGGGGGGUAACUAAUGGAAACGGUAGCUAAUACCCAAUACCAUCAGUAGUGCCCAUAUGGGAUUAGCUAGUUGGGGGGGUAACGGCUCACCAAGGCGACGAUCCCUCGCUGGUCUGAGAGGAUGACCAGCCACACUGGCACUGAGAAACGGUCCAGACGCCUACGGGAGGCAGCAGUGGGGAAUAUUGCACAAUGGGCGCAAGCCUGAUGCAGCCAUGCCGCGUGUAUGAAGAAGGCCUUCGGGUUGUAAAGUACUUGCAGCGGGGAGGCGUUACCCGCAGAAGAAGCACCGGCUAACUCCGUGCCAGCAGCCGCGGUAAUUC
rnacentral:rRNA from 1 species